UAAGACAGGGGUCUCGAGCGUUAAUCGGAAUCACUGGGCUUAAAGGGUGCGUAGGCCGCCUCGUAAGUGCUUUGUGAAAGCCCCCGGCUCAACCGGGGAACUGCAGGGCAUACUGCGAGGCUUGAGGAAACUAGAGGCCGGUAGAACGAUAGGUGGAGCGGUGGAAUGCGUAGAUAUCUAUCGGAAUGCCGAAAGUGAAGACAGCCGGCUGGGGUUUUCCUGACGCUGAGGCACGAAAGCGUGGGGAGCAAACCGGAUUAGAUACCCGGGUAGUCCACGCCCUAAACGAUGCACACUAGACUGGAGCAGCUCUGACGUUGUUCUGGUCGUAGAGAAAUUGCUAAGUGUGCCGCCUGGGGAGUACGGUCGCAAGGCUA
rnacentral:rRNA from 1 species